rnacentral:misc_RNA from 1 species
GGCUGCAACAUAUUUACCCCACUCUGUGAUGAAAAAUUGUUAAUAUUGGCCUGUUGGGUAGUGCUCACAGGAAUCUGUUGGAGAGAGCCUACUGCUGCAUGCUGCAAUGAGCUCAUUGCAUUUCCUUGGCCUGAAUCUAAAUUGGAAGCUGGCUGCAGGGAAUUCAUCAUGUUUUGCUGUGAUGCAGAACCCGAUAAAGAAGACACAGAAUUAUGCUGCAAACUUGACAUAUUGUUCUGCUGCAUUGUUGGCAUAGACCCUUGCAAAUUCAUUGAUUGCAUUUGGGGGUUCAUUUGAUUUUCAUGAGACUGCACUUGAGUAACUUGAGAUUGUGGUUGCUGGAUAUGAGGCUGGGGAAGUUGUCCUUGUUGAAGGGGCUUCCUGGGUCUAUUGGUGUUUAUAAAAUUUAUAAUCUGCUUCUCAUAGGAAC